CUGAGGGAGGAGGGUUGGGGGGCUGGAGAAGGAGGAACUGGGGCCAGGACUCCAGGGUCUGAGGGAGGAGGGUCCGGAGACCAGAACUCUUGUGUCAGAAAGGAGAGAACUGGACAACUUUCCUUUCCAGAGCCAGUAGAAACCAGGGGGCUGCUUGCCUAGUACUCUGCCGGGUUCUGGGCAUGCUCAGGAGAGUCCUAACCCUUUUUUAGGACCUACUAUGUGUCAUGUUGGCCGGUAGCGGGAUAAGCAAAACCGCUUCAUUCGAUGGCCUCUCUCAUUUACAGUAAUCAGCAUGCUUCUCAUUGAGUGCUGUACAUACCGCGGAGGCUGCAUCAUCUGAUUUCAUCCACACCACGGUCUCAUUGGCUGUAGCCUGAGGCUCCAUAACUGGCCUGAGGUCACCUAGCUGGAGUUUGUCCCUCCACACCAGGCGGUGGAUGGAUGGUUAGAGUUCGCCCGUGGUUCAGCAUUAUCCUAUAGAAAUAUAAUUUUCCUGAUGGUUAUUGUUGAGGGCAUCUUGCAAUCAUGAGAACCACAAGGGCCGGUCCAGACGCAACACUGGUUAUCGAUAGGCUGAGACACACAAAACAAGCCUCGAGGAGAAGGUGACAAUGGAGCAAAGACCUAUCCAAGCCUGUUUAUACAGAACCUCACCGCCUGUCGGGUAGCAGACUAGUCUCGGGAUUCAUCAGUGAACCUGCAAGACAAGGUCCUGGCCCCCAUGAAGCUUCAGUUCAAAUGAGAGAGAUGUUAUUUCAUUCCACAAAUGUUUACUGUGUACCUACUAUGUGCCAGG